CCAGAAGCCGCGUCGGCCGCGAGGCCGGCGCCUUCGCCCAACCCUUUGUGAACGAUAUUGAUUGCCCCGGGGGACCCCGCACCCGUGCGGCCCCCCGGUGGCCCCCCAUAACUCUUGUUGUAUCUGCCGUCCGAGUCGCAAAUGCAAAUGAAACA
rnacentral:misc_RNA from 1 species